GAGGAUAUAGCUCAGUGGUAGAGCGUGUGCUUAACAUGCAUGAGGUUCUGGGUUCAAUCCCCAGUACCUCCA
rnacentral:tRNA from 1 species